UACGGAGGGUGCGAGCGUUGUCCGGAAUCACUGGGCGUAAAGGGCGCGUAGGUGGCUUUUCAAGCGCGCGGUGAAAGCCCGGGGCUCAACCCCGGGUCGGCCGUGCGGACUGGGAGGCUUGAGCACUGUAGGGGCGGGUGGAAUUCCGGGUGUAGCGGUGGAAUGCGUAGAGAUGUGGAGGAACACCGAUGGCGAAGGCAGCCCCCUGGGCUGAGAUUGACGCUCAGGCACGAAAGCGUGGGGAGCAAACAGG
rnacentral:rRNA from 1 species